CCACCUGGAGUGCUGCAUCCCGUCCUGGAGCCCCUAUUCCAAGAGGGAUGUGGACAUGCCAGAGCAUGCCCAGAGAAAGGCCAUGAGGAUGACCAGAGUCUGUUAGAUGCUGUGUAGCUAUAAAUGGGACCUGGAUGUGGGAGCUAGGGCUCCAGAAAGCCAGAGGCCAUGGUACCUCAUGUCUAUCAACCAUUGUGCAGGGCCACCUGGCCUGGCUGCACCUUUCACCUGAGCCUCCUCAAACAGGAUUGUUUUCUUGUCUGCUGCAAGAGGCUCUCCUAAUGAAAUUAAAUACUGCUCUCUUUA